rnacentral:lncRNA from 1 species
CAGACAGAUCACUUGAGGCCAGGAGUUCCAGACCAGCCUGCCCAGCAGAGUGAAAUCCUGUCUCUACUAAAAAUACAAAAAAAUUAGCUGGGCAUGGUGGCAUGUGCCUGUAAUCCCAGCUACUCUGGAGGCUGAGGCAUGAGAAUUGCUUGAACCUGGAAGGCAGAGGCUACAGUGAGCCAGGAUCAUGCCACUGCACUCCAGCCUGGGUGACAGUGUGAGACCCUGUCGCAAAAAAAAAAAAAAAAAAAAAGAAAGAAAAAAAAGAAAGCCAUGCAAGAUCAGCUCUAAUUCAAUUUCUAAUUGUGUGUAUCUCUAAUCCAUAUUUAUCUCUACUUGUUACAGGUCUAAUUUUCCCCAAAUCAAAACGAAAAAAAAUUAUUUUUUGUUUGGUUGUUCUGGUAGAACUUUAUCGACUGUGGAUGCUAUCAUGAUGGGGGAAAUGUAAUCAUUUUUCAGACUAUACCCUUUUGUAUGAAACCACUAGAAACUGUGUGUUUGAAAUACAGAACUGUUUCUGAGCAGGGGCUGCUGGAGUCCACCAGGAUUACAGUCAUGACAAGCACUGUGUUUCCUGGGACGGUUUCCAUCUCCGUCUGGGUGUUCCAUAAGCCAGACUUAGAAACCUUUCCUGAUUUAUGGUUAGGAACACUGAUCACUGUAGCCAUGUCUCGUGGACUGGAGGCUAGGGAGACUCAACCCACAGAAACAAGGAGGCUGCUUCAGGAAACUCUAAGGAGAGGAAGGGUGGCAUAUAAAGAAGCCUUUGUGGGCUGGGAAUAAGUUAGUUUUUCGUGAGUAAAUUCAUUCAUCACCUAAAAUGCUCCCAGAACUAUGCAAGGUAUUUAAGCAGCAACAUCACAGCUCCAAAAAUAAGUAUAAAACAGAAGACAUGGUCACUAUCCUUCAGAAAUCAAUCAUCUGUUUGAGGAGCUAACACAAAACAGUUAAAAAGUGAUGCAAAACAGCACAGCAAAUCAAGGACAGAUGUGCCUGAACUAGACUGACCCUGUGCAAGGGAGAAUCUUGAAAGUGUCUUUGAUGUGGUGAUUCAGGCCUGGUGGGAUGAGAGCAUGUGCAAAUGUCCAAGCAUCAGCGAUGGACUGUAGUGAUUCAGGACAGGUGUCUGAGAGGCCAGGACAUGAGGCUGCAUGGAGGAAUGAUGAGAGGUGGGAGCGAUGGUAUUCUGAGGUGGAAAGAGUUGUGUCCUGCAGGCGUCAAGGGAUGUGGCCUCUGGUCCCAGUAUCCCUUUGUGGGCACACAACUUGAUCCUCACUGUGCUUACACCUGCUCCUCUGUAAAGCUAGGAUGGACAAACUGAUCUGGAUGCUUUUUUUUCCAAACUCCACCUGCAGGACUGGGGCAAGUCUGUGAUGAUAGAGAAAAAUGAGGACAAGAUUGCAAGUUUUUCAUAAAUCUAAAUUUAUUAAAUGUAAAGGACUGCCUUCAUCUUUCAAGUUUAGCCUUUGUGCUUUUUCUUGGUAUUAAAAUGUCUUUCAUUUUAUGAAAUAGUGACAGUGGAUGGAUUUUUUUAAAAAAAAUGGCCUGACUUGGCAGCAUAAAAAUUUGGUUAGCAUGAUAUCCUGUGUGAGGUCAUCUCCCCCAGUUAAAAAAAAAAAACAAAAACAGUGCCAGUCAGCGAAGGACCAGGAAUAAAAACUCUGGAUGAGAGGCUCUUAAUCAGGUUGUAGCAGUUUGUAUGAGUUUGUAUAAAGCUUGACAAGUCUACGUACCCAGGCUCCAGCCUAUUCUCUGUGAGGCUGCCAGGCAUUUUUGGACCUAUUUGCUCUCCUGUUCAAAAACCAUUAGGUGUAAAUAUCUUCACACUUCCCAUCAUAAUCCAGCUCCAAUCUCUCUCCACCUCUUGCAACUCUCAGUAUCCUCCACUCCUGCCUCACCAGUCUUUUCUCCAUUCCCCAUAACUCUUCACAUCUCCCUGCCUUUGCUUACGCUGGUUCCUCUGCCCCGGUGCUGCCCUUCCUCCAGCUGCCUGGCAAACUCCUAUUCCUCUAGACACCCAGUGUCUAAUGUUACCUUUCAUUCUGAAUUUUUCCUUAAUCUGCCCCACUGCUUCCAAUGAAAUAACUGCUACCUCUUCUAUGUUUUUGGCACUUUGCACAGAUUUCUAUUCCAUGUAUUUAUGGAGUAUUUACUUCUGCCAUUCUGUCCUCCAAGACUGUGACCAACAGCACCUAGGUUGGUUUCUGUCCCUCAGAUAUUUACUGAAUUGAAAUACAUUGUGUUUGAUAUUAAUAAAAGAGAAACCAUGUUUGAUGUAAGCCUGGUCAAAUAAACAAAGACAAGUUUACUUUUAUGGUCUGAAUCGCUCAGAUUCAAGAAAGCCCCCUCCAACCCUCAAAUUCCUUCUGCACUGUCUCACUUGUGCCUCAAAUCCAUCCCUAACGUCUCAUUCCUUCACUUAAAGGUUACAAUGUAAGAAGUUUAUCAGAUUCUUUCCCAAGCUCAGGCUUGAUGGAAGAAAGGAGGGCGGGGACGCAGGCCUAUGGGUGGGGUAGGGAAGGAGCCACUAGGCUGCAGAGAGGGCAAAAAGAGGCUCUGAGGAUAGAGCCUGUCUCAUUCUCAGUUGUCACAGGUUGGCUGAGGUCACAGGGAGUUCAGAGCACACUGAUUUAAGAAGCCACCUGCCUGUGUCCUUCAAGAUGUUUAGGAUGGGAAAUGAUGGGAUCAGUAGGGCAUAGGAGGACAGAGUCUUGAUCUGUGGCCUAGGCUGCAGUGCAGUGGCACCAUCUCCAUCUCCUGGGUUCAAGCGAUUCUUCUGCCUCAGCCUCUUGAGUAGCUGGGAUUACAGGUGCGUGCCACCACACCCGGCUAAUUUUUGUGUUUUCAGUAGAGACAGGGUUUUGCCAUGGUGGCAAGGCUGGUCUCGAACUCCUGACCUCAAGUGAUCUGCCCACCUCGG